rnacentral:lncRNA from 1 species
GUUAAGGCAGGAAUUCCACUUCUAGAAAAGCCUCCUGCAGCUGCGCUCCCACAAGUGCGCAAAGAUUGCCAAUUUUAAUAUUAAAGCGGAUAAUUAUUAAGGGCUCACUAGGUAGCAGGUCGUGGACUGCGCUAAAUCAAUUAGUUCAUGCAGUCCCCAGAGCAACCUGGAUCUAUUAUUAUUCCCGGAUUUAGUGAUGAGGAAAUUGGUUUGCUUAAAGUUUCAAUGAGUCAGUUGUGAGAAUAAUCGCAACUAUAUUCUGUCAAGGACCCUGUGAAGUAGAUCUUACCACCUUUAUUUGCCCAAGUAUACACACAGUGGUGGGUUGGAGAACCCGGACUUGAAUAAGCCUGUUGCAGUCCUGAGCCUUUGCGCUGAACCGCUGGUGACUUACUUCCAGUCAAACCCGUGCAAACACUGCAACUUUAGUUGUACGAAAAACAGUUGGGAACAACCUACCUGUCCUUCAUUAGGAGAGUGGCUGAUAAAAUACAGUGGAGACAUACAGCGGCAGAGAGAAAGAUGGAAUGAAGCAACACCUCAUCAAGAGAAGCAACCUGGGCAAACCAGGCCUGGUUUAACUGCACUUUCUCACGUUUGAUCAUUUUCUCAAGAGAUACGUGCGUGGUCCUCUGCAAUUCAGAAUGAAAUCUGAACUUCUGGAAAAACUCUCCUAGAGGGGGUUUGAGGACAAGAGACAAGGGAAAUUUGGACACAGACAUACAAAGAGGAGAGAAUGCUAUAUGAAGACACAGAGACAGACAGACCCAGA